AUUGAACGCUGGCGGCAGGCCUAACACAUGCAAGUCGAGCGCGAAAGGCCUUCGGGCUGAGUAGAGCGGCGGACGGGUGAGUAACGCGUAGGAAUCUACCUGGUAGUGGGGGACAACUUGGGGAAACUCAAGCUAAUACCGCAUACGCCCUAAGGGGGAAAGCGGGGGACCUUCGGGCCUCGCGCUAUCAGAUGAGCCUGCGUAGGAUUAGCUAGUUGGUGAGGUAAAGGCUCACCAAGGCGACGAUCCUUAGCUGGUCUGAGAGGAUGAUCAGCCACACUGGGACUGAGACACGGCCCAGACUCCUACGGGAGGCAGCAGUGGGGAAUAUUGCGCAAUGGGGGCAACCCUGACGCAGCCAUGCCGCGUGUGUGAAGAAGGCCUUCGGGUUGUAAAGCACUUUCAAUGGGGAAGAAAAGCGUAGCGUUAAUAGCGUUGCGCCGUGACGUUACCCAUAGAAGAAGCACCGGCUAACUCCGUGCCAGCCGCCGCAGUAA
rnacentral:rRNA from 1 species